UACGUAGGGCGCGAGCGUUGUCCGGAUUUAUUGGGCGUAAAGAGCGUGUAGGCGGCUUCACAGGUCCGCUGUGAAAACUCGAGGCUCAACCUCGAGCUGUCGGUGGAAACCGUGUGGCUAGAGUCCGGAAGAGGAGAGUGGAAUUCCCGGUGUAGCGGUGAAAUGCGCAGAUAUCGGGAAGAACACCCGUGGCGAAGGCGGCUCUCUGGGACGGUACUGACGCUGAGACGCGAAAGCGUGGGGAGCGAACAGG
rnacentral:rRNA from 1 species